CGGCCCCACCAGCCGAUCUCUCUGAAACUCAUCCCUAACCUCCGAAUCCCAAUUUUCUCUCCGUGGAACAAAUUUUGGAUGCUUGCUUCCAUGGCGUUAGCGCCAAGCUUGAAUCACAGCCUUAGAUUUCCAUCAUCCAGCGGAUCAAAAAUCAUGGCCUGCUCAAACUCAAUCAACCCUCCGAAAAAUUCUUUCAGUUUCCGAUCCGCCGCCGCGAAACGCUGCUUACGGUGCCGCACCGUUUACUCGGAUCUCGAUAAUUCUCCUUCCGCUUGCGCCUUCCAUGGCCACAUCACGGGGGAGAAAGGAUUAUUUUCGUUGUCACCACCGCACCAAGGGAUUGAUGGUGAGUGGAGCGAAGACUCCGGAGUGAUCGUUUACAAGUGGAAUGAUAAGUCUAAUCGUCCUAACACCGGAACUGACAACUGGAAAAGACGGUGGAGUUGUUGCUCUGAGUACAACGAACAUGCCCCUCCUUGUCGUCGGGGAUGGCACGUCUCUUACGAUGAUGGUUUCACUUUGUAUUAACUAGACUAGAGUGUGGUCUCCGCCAAUCAUAGCAUUUGUAAAAAUUGUGAUAAUUUUGUAACAUUAAUGGAUGUACUAAGUUGAUUUAUUUAAGUCAUUGUAUAACUUCCUCUUUUUGGGUGUGCACCGGUCAAACACAAGGUCAUUUUUUCGUAGUUCAAUAUGGAUUGAAGAAUUCGAAUCUCAAA